rnacentral:lncRNA from 1 species
UGCUAGUUGAACAUGUUGUUAUAUGUGAUGGUGGAUAUGGUUGUUAGUAGUGAUAAAUUAUAGCAGUGGUAGUGGUUGAAGUGAUGGUAGAGGUUGCAUUACUAGUGAAAAUGGUUGUGGCGGCCGAAGAAUGUGUGGAGGUUGUGAUGUAUUAGUGGUAGUUAGUAGUGGUGCUAGUUGUGAUUGAUGAGUUGGUCAAUAGUAAGGACUGACCGGUAAUAGUUGAUGAUGGUGGUGG